CAGCAGCCCGGUAAUACGAAGGGUGCAAGCGUUACUCGGAAUUACUGGGCGUAAAGCGUGCGUAGGUGGUGGUUUAAGUCCGUUGUGAAAGCCCUGGGCUCAACCUGGGAAUUGCAGUGGAUACUGGGUCACUAGAGUGUGGUAGAGGAUAGUGGAAUUUCCGGUGUAGCAGUGAAAUGCGUAGAGAUCGGAAGGAACAUCUGUGGCGAAGGCGACUAUCUGGGCCAACACUGACACUGAGGCACGAAAGCGUGGGGAGCAAACAGGAUUAGAUACCCCCGUAGUCCCUGUCUCUUAUACA
rnacentral:rRNA from 1 species